ACUGGAAUAGAUAAUCAAACCUUUCAAGGGAAAAGAAAACCUUGCCUGUACUAUCAAACGACUAACAGAAAACAUAUAUCUGUUUUUAGUCCCUGAAGUUUUGAAUGGCAUGCCUCUUUUUUCUUUUUUUCUGUUUUCUUCCACUCAAUAAAAAAUCUAGUACUUUAUAAACGUCUUUAAAACUAAUUUGUAAAAAAUUUCACUGCACUUUCAUUAAUCACCCGUUUAUUGCUCUUUUUUAUAUCGCCCUUUAAUUUUAACCGAGGUUGCUUGUCUGCUAUUCCAAUAAUCGUUUCAGGAAUUUCCCAAGAAUUGCGUCACGACAAUAAACUUUUGAGCAUGUUCACAACUUUCUGCUGAUAGAUUUUUGAACUUAGAAUCCUUUAUGAAGAGUUAAAUUGGUAUUGUAAUGUUUCAUCUACAUGAAGGAAAGAAAAAACAAACGGACAGGGAGAAUUCAUCAGAAUCUUUGGGGAAAAAGUGUUUUUCUCCUGAAAGCCAAAACUCUUCAGUUUCUAGCGGAAGCUUUUUAAAGUUAAAUACCGACUGCAGAAGAAUUCAGAAACUUAAUCUGAAUUCUUCAGAAAGUAACGAUUUUCGGCUUAACUUCACCUAGACGCAACAUCACAGAACUAAUUCUCAUUGCUCUGUUUACAUUUAUUUUAAUACUCACCAGUACCAAGUAAAAAUUAAUUUAGCAUGUGGAUUUUGUAAGAUCCUUCGAAUCUUCUGAUAUGCGUGUAUAUGCUCCUUGUACCUACUUACUGAAUUAGAAAAUAUUAUUUUCUAGCUAGUCAUAGUUUUAAGGAUCUGUAAAUAGGAAGUGCAUUUCAGUCAAACAAUGUCCAUAUCAUCUUUUUUAACUACUUGUCAUCUUACUAAAGAGUUCUUUUCAUUCCAACUUUAUGAGACUUUCUAAAGGCAAGUACAUAGGAAUGGAAUAUUGUAUGUCAUAGGAUUUUUAAAAUUUUAGUAAACUUUGGUGGGAGACAUAGCCCCUGGGAAAACCAGAGAGCUUUUAAAGGAGAAGUGUGAUAGUUGAAUCGAGGAGAUAUUUUGAGCUUUUGUUUAUGAUUCUUUGUAUUGUCUCAUACUGCUGGCUGAUAGACAAAGGAGACAGAAAAGAAAAUGGAGCAAUCCCUUCGGUGAAAGCUGGUGGUUGCAAUGGGUGGAGGAGAUAAGUAAUAAACAAACUAACUGUAACCCACUAGAGUCAAUCAUUUUCCCUUUAGUCUCUUCCAACUAUCUGUUCCAACCAACAGGAUUGCUCCAUACUAUGUAGGUCUACUUUGACUAGCGUAUCUGCUUUGUAUAUUGAUUUCAAUAAUCAGCCUCCUGGCUCAAAAAAACCAUCAUGUAAACUGUCUUUUAUGAUUUCUCAAAUUUUGUGAUAGAAAAGGAUGACAUUUUUUUAAAAUCGAACAACUAACUAAGAUUAACGAAGAAAGGUUCUUAAUUAAAUUAGCACACUGAGACCCUGUCAUCUUACUUUAAUGCUCCCAUGUAUAAAUCUGUAUAUUUUGUGAUAGGAAGGUAAGUAGGUACUUACAAUUAGUUGAGACUGUGAAAUGAUUUUGUUAAUAAUUUGUAAUAGAUUGUACAUUUUGAAGUUAUGUCAAAAUAAAAUUAGAACAUAUCAAAUAUUUAAUACCCGUUUCUUUGGUACUUAUUUUCCUUUACCCUGCAAUAUCUUAUCACUGAAAUAACCUCCCCUCCCCUAUAACAGUGUCUUCUUGACUGGCGAAAAGGGGUAAUGGCAAUCAUGCCAUUCAUCAGAAAAUAUUGAAGCCAAUUUAAAGUUAGAAGAAUAUUGCUGAGUCCACACUGUUUUGCAGGGGAGUCAAAACCAAAAAAUUCUUAAAAUUAUGAUUCCGAACUCCUUUAGUAGAAUUUUGAGACUUUUACUUAAAAUUUGCAGGACCUGCAUGGGUUGCUUAAUUUUGAGCUGAAACGAGAGACUUAACUCGACUUAAGAAAUCGGCGGGUUACAUCUUUGGGUCAUCAUCGGGUUACAGUGAAAUCUCAUUACGUCGGAUUGUCAAGAGACCAAGAGAAGUUUCCCCUUAUGCGUCCUUCCGUCUAAUCCACUUUAUCGCUUAGCAUGAAAUAAGUUAAAAAAUUAGAGGUACGCAAUUUCCAGGAACUUAAAAUGAUUUUAAUAUUAAUUUUUCUAAUAUUAAAAUAAUGAAUUAAACAUUUUUAAUUUUUAAGGAAAUUCUCAAUUUUUAUCUCUUUUCUCUCGAUCAAGUCAAAGGACACUCAAUGUCAAAGAUUUCUAAACGCUUACUUUCGUACUUCCUUAAAUAAUACAGGUACUUACGUCAUCCUAAACACGUUUUUGAACCUUAUCAUUCUAUAAAAAUCGCUUCUUUCUCUUGAUUUCUUACCUACGAAUGAAAUCGAAUAUUUGCCGAAUUCUCCGAAAAUGUCUCUUUUGCCUAAGCAGUUUUCUUCCUUAAUAAGAGUGACGAAUUUUUCUAAGUCGUACUUUUCUUUACAUUGCCCUUCAUGGCGGCAGUGUCCAGGGACCUAACAGACCGAGGAAAUUUUAGACCUAAGUAGGAUGUCGUCUUAGCCAUAGUUCGACUUGGCGAAAUUUCAUUGUACAACUUUAACGUUCGCUACAGCUUCAAUAUCGAGCGCGAUUCCCGAAGCCAAGUAAUGAUAAAACUAAGUAGAGUCUGCGGUGCUGAGGAAGAACGCCGUAUGAACAUUCGAGAGUUGUCAAAUUUCCCUUGAUAAAACAUGGAUUUUUGACUGUAUUCAUGCACAUGUUUCUUUGAAAUUUUUAGAUAUUUUAGAUUAAAUUGCGUACGAAAUUGUCUGAAAAUUUUGGGGAAAAAAUAUUCACCAUUUUCCCUGCAAAUUUGGUAUUUAUCGAAGGAAAUUUGGCAACGUCUGAUGACUCAUGCGGCGUUCUUCCUUAGCACGGCAGAGUAGUACUAGGUAGUAGAGUAUACUAAGUAGUAUGAGUAGUCUAAGUAGUAAGAGUAUACUCUACUAAGUAGUAGAGUAUUUGCUCGUGAAAACCUCUUAUGGGCUCAAUUAUUUUUUUAACUAAUCGGAUCGUGUUUAGCAGAGAGGAACCAAGCCACAUUAGGCAUUGCCGAAUUUAAUUGGGCAAUUUAAUUUUUUACAUGAAAACGGUCCUGUGGAUUUUUGUGCAAAUUUCUGUGACUUUUUUUACAUAGUACAACUUGGCAGUAGACGACCGUAGCUUGGUUCCUUUCUGCUGUCCAAUUU
rnacentral:lncRNA from 1 species